rnacentral:rRNA from 1 species
UUUUGUUGGUUUCUAGGACCGCCGUAAUGAUUAAUAGGGACAGUCGGGGGCAUCAGUAUUCAAUUGUCAGAGGUGAAAUUCUUGGAUCUAUUGAAGACUAACUACUGCGAAAGCAUUUGCCAAGGAUGUUUUCAUUGAUAAGGAACGAAAGUUAGGGGAUCGAAGACGAUCAGAUACCGUCGUAGUCUUAACUAUAAACUAUGCCGACUAGGGAUCGGACGAUGUUAUUUCUUGACGCGUUCGGCACCUUUCGAGAAAUCAAAGUGCUUGGGCUCCAGGGGGAGUAUGGUCGCAAGGCUGAAACUUAAAGAAAUUGACGGAAGGGCACCACCAGGGGUGGAACCUGCGGCUUAAUUUGACUCAACACGGGGAAACUCACCAGGUCCAGACACAAUGAGGAUUGACAGAUUGAGAGCUCUUUCUUGAUUUUGUGGGUGGUGGUGCAUGGCCGUUCUUAGUUGGUGGAGUGAUUUGUCAGAUUAAUUUCGAUAACGAACGAGACCUUCACUGUUAACUAGCCCGCAUUGCUUUGGCAGUGCGCUGGCUUCUUAGCGGGACUAUUGGCGCGAGCCAAUGGAAGUUGGAGGCGAUAACAGGUCUGUGAUGCCCUUAGAUGUCCUGGGCCGCACGCGCGCUACAUUGACGGAGCCAGCGAGUACUUCCUUAACCGACAGGUUUGGGUAAUCUUGUUAAACUCCGUCGUGCUGGGGAUAGGGCAUUGCAAU